AUCUCGGGGGUCUCACUGAGAAGGAGUCGGGACGGGCUCCGCGUUGAAGUGCAGCAAGGGAUGCCAACCCGCGAGGCCUUGGUCUUGGAAAGAAAGUUGGCAGCCAGGCCUGAGAAAAUGAAGGUGCCACUGAGAGACUUACCAGCCAGGGAGAUUCUUGAACUUGGUGCUUGCUAGCUAAGCACUUGGCCACUGCUCAGCUGGAACAUCUGCUGCCACCAGUCAACCUGUCUUCAGCGGGUUCUACUUAUUCAGGACUGCUCCAUCUUGUGGCCUUUGCAUGCUGCCUUCUCUCUGUGUCCUCCCACUGCUGUUCCCUUUCUCUGCAAACUAAGAACUCUGUGUCUUCCAUUUAAGCUUCCAGAUUACGGACAUGAUCAGGUUGAAUUCUUCCCCCCACAAAAGGAUAUUUUGAAAUACCACCCUCUCAGAAUGUGAUCUUAUUUGGAGAUAGGUCAUUGCAGAUAUAAUUAGUUAAAAUGAGAUCAUAUUGGAAUAGGGUGGGCCAAUCCAGUGUGACUGGUGUCCUUAUAAGAAGAGGAGACACAGAUACAGAAGAAAGACAGUCAAUGGGAAGACCAAGGCAGAGACUGGAGUGAUGCUGCCACAAGCCAAGGAACUACUGGCCUACCCAACGCUGAGGAACUACUUGAAAGGCAAGGAAAGAUCCUUUCCUAGUACCCUCUGAGGGAGUAUGGCCCUGCCACCACCUUGUUUCAGACUUUUGGCCCCCAGAACUGUGAGCAAAUAAACUUCUGUUGUUUUAAUAUA